CUCUCUCUCUCUCUCUCAUUCUAUCAUUAAUCAUCGUUCCUUCUCAUUCAAAACCCUAAUCUCUCUCUCUCUCUCUCUCUGGCGAACACAACAAUUCGAUCAACCUUCAUCGGAGCUUAGGGUUUUCAAAUCUUCCUCUCAAAGAUGACUCACACAUCAUCGUGAAGCAAUUCUAAGCCGAUCCAUCUUCCUGAACGUCCUUAGGGUUACAACUCUUUCUCUCCAAGUGAUACCAGUAGGUCAAUCAAGAUUGGUUCCGCUUCGAACCCGACGACAGAGAUGAUCAGAGGUUUUCCGGUAAUGGAUUUGUUUUCAUCUAUUUUUCUCAUCCGAUUUGGUCUAAUUGCAGUUUGGUAGUCGUUUUCGAACAGAUAUUUGCAGUACUCGGUUAAGGAGAUUGUACAAAUCGUUGAAGUUCACUAAUAGGCGUGGAAACUAAACUAGAAAAUCCAUUCCAUCAUCUACUGUUAGGAUCAUAAUUAUGGUUCUUUUUUGAAUUUGUUUUUUUCCUGUUUGCGUGUGUUGUGUGGAUUGUGGAUAGCCUUCAUCUACGUUCUUGAAUACCGAGGCACAGGCUUUUCGAAUAGCAUGGAAAUUCAUUCGUGUGGCAUAUAGUAGUUGAGAGAUUUCCGACAACAAGAUUUUGUUGUGAUCCAAAAUGUGGGGCAAAACUCAGGGAUGAGACUAGGGCUUUCAAGGUUUCUAAGAAUGUACCUCCGGCUGUGUUGGUCCGGUUUCUACGAGAGCAUCAAUCAGAAUGGGCCGAUUUUAGAUGCUUACUCAGCUGCUUCGGUAAAAGCUAGCCCGUGUAUGGAUAUCAAGGGACACUGCCCAUGAGGUUUACAGGUAGCCAGAUCAUCAUGUCACUUGGCCUGACAAUUGAACAUGAAGAGUUAUUAGACUCGAAGGUCACACAGUUGGUCAAGAAGAUCCUUUUGUGUCGAGGGACAUUCAUCUCUUACAGUUAUGCAGCGGAAUCGAUUAGAAUGCAGUGGGUCGAGUGUUGGAUAAAUAUUUUCUAUCCCCAAACCCGAAGCAUCGUGAAUCCUACAUCUUUCUCUAUUGCUUCUCUUUUCGGUUGCGUCUGCCAAAGUCUUUUUCAAGGCCUAAGUGCAAACAGGGUAUUCAUCCAAUUGGCAUUAUUUGGGAUUUGGUGAUGUUAUGCCAAGAAGUUAGAUGAAUCGUUUUUUGGACUCUAAAUGAGGCCCCAACUUUGAUUACGAAUCACUCUCUGAUGCAAGUAUAGGCCAUCCAUGUAAUCUUAGGUUGUUGGCUGGAACUGUUAUCGUCAAGGCAUUUUGAAAGAUAAUAAUGGGAGUUCAAAACAGGAGCUGGAGAAUAAUUUGACGACUUGGGUUGUUUGUUCCAUUAUAGGUUUUCAUAAUUUUUAUUAUUCGGCCACUCAUCAAACAUCUGCAAAGCCAAAUCGUUGAUAAAGUGGAAGUAUUUCUUAAGAUCAUCAAUGGAGAGAGGUUCAUCAAUGAGGCGCCUAAAGCGCUUGUGCUAAAAAUCGUAUUAAUUCCUACAACCAUCAAACAUAUGUUAUUGUUGUGUGUAGAUUAUUUUUUUCUUUUUUUUAUCAUUUUUAUUGUUUUCAUGGCUUUAGCGGCAUGUAAAAAUUUUCCAGCAUGUGAAUAGUUUUCUGUUUUUUUUCUUUCAA